UACGGAGGAUCCAAGCGUUAUCCGGAUUUAUUGGGUUUAAAGGGUGCGUAGGCGGCCUGUUAAGUCAGGGGUGAAAGACGGUGGCUCAACCAUCGCAGUGCCCUUGAUACUGAUGGGCUUGAAUUAACUAGAGGUAGGCGGAAUGUGACAAGUAGCGGUGAAAUGCAUAGAUAUGUCACAGAACACCGAUUGCGAAGGCAGCUUACUAUGGUUUUAUUGACGCUGAGGCACGAAAGCGUGGGGAUCGAACAGG
rnacentral:rRNA from 1 species